UACACACACCUCACAUGCACUGCCAUCUCCCCUAUAUUAUUUGCUUACUCGCUUACUCCCCCUGUCUAUUCUGUCUUUAACAGUACUCUGUGGAUUAUUUCAUUGUUUCAAUAUUUCUUAGUUUCUCUAAAUACACCGACCAUUCAAUCAUUAUAACUUUGUUCUACACGUCAAAUUAUUUGGACUAUUUUAGUUCAUAACCCUGUGGUAUUGUAUCGCAUUUAUCUUGUGCGAUUAUUUAUAUUUAGAGUACGAUUUUAGGCGGUAUCAAUUGGUGUGUUUUAAAUUUGAUGCUCUAAGUGUCAUAUAAAUUUUAGAAGUAGGUCAUAGUACCGGAAUCAUAAUGUUUUGAUCUAUGAAAACAUACACUAAAUCUUUUGGAAAAAUAGCGAAGUUACACCUCUGUUGCGUGUAUUAACGUGUCUGCAGAGGCCCUAGUGACAUGCUGAAAUAACCUUCCUUAAUGUAUAUUUUCAUUUUAUAUAGCUACACUGUUGCGGAUCAUAUGGUCCAGAAGAUUAUAGCGCAAUCAAUUUCACUGUUUUGGAGUUGCAAUACACGAUGUAUGUGCCACAGACCUGUUGUGUCCUUAGCAACAAAGAUCCAGAAAAUCCUAAACCCAGCGAUCCACUGUUGUGUCAAACUGAGGCGUUGUUAUAUGACAGUAAUUUGCGUAGGUCGACAUAUUCGACAACUUCGACAAAUUCAACAUACACAUUUUUAAAUACUAAGGGUUGCUUUGAUAGUAUAUGGGACGAAAUAAACUUGCAUUCAGACAUUAUCAUUGGCAUAUGCAUCGGAAUUAUGUUGUUUCAGUUAUUCAUGAUAUUUACGACAUGCUGGAUCAUUAAAUACUAUGAAAAAUAUAGCGAAGAAACUGACACUAAGGACAAUGACAACCUUUGAACUUGAUACAUCGUCCAGCGAAUCAGCGAAAACUAAAAUAUUUUUAUAUAUUUUUGUGCAAGCGCCGAGUGUGUUCCAACCUUGCAAACUCCACGAGAGCCGAAUCAAGCUACUGUUAUAAUGACCCUGUUAUUAUAUACCUCCAUCUUUUUUGUUGUUAUGUUAUUGAAAAAAAUCUUCAGAUUUUAUCGAUGUUUAAAUGUAACUUAGUGAAGUUUUUUACGUGCGCUAUUUAUAGAACUGUAUCAGGUACUGAUGCAUAUUAAUGAAAGUAGUCUCAGACUGGUAACAUACAUUAUUAUUCAACUCACUGUAUUAGAUCAAUUGCAAACAUCAUAUGAAACAGACAGAGCUAAAACAAAACAUAACUGAGCCAAUAUAAGAAAAACAGGGCCAAUAUGAGAAAAACAGGGCCAAUGCGGAAUUCAAGCAUUUUGAUUGGUUCAAAACAGAGGGCCAAUACGGAGAAGCCACUUCCGUUAGAUUUUUAAAUGACGCCAUUUUAUUUUACAUCAGAGUUAUAGAUUACAUUUAUUUUUAUAUUUUGACAAAAAAAUCAUCCAACAUGUUCAUUUAAUACCCAAGUAUGACUAUUUAUUUUAGCGAGCGGGCUAUAUUGUCUUACAGUCGGCAUGUGCUACUUUUUCUAUAAAAAGAUGAAUCCGGUCAGAGAAAAAAUGAUGCGUAAAGUUAUCUUGUGAAAAGCAAGGGUUGUCUGUAACUUUAGUGGAAGUGGCUCCGAUACUUGUUUACACAAUCUGUUGCACUGUAUUAUAUUCAGAUAUGAUUUUACAAGUUUUAAAAUCAUAUCUGAAUAUAAUGAUACCAUAAUUGCUUUUCGUUGAGGACACGACCAAAUAAAUAAAAUAUACUUUGUACAAAUAUCAGAGUCGCUGUGACUUCAUCAUUGUACGAGCACGUUCAGAUGCAUUAGCGAAUCUAAAAUCUGAAAGUUUUCAACAGUCAUGCUGAUUGACGAGCUUGAUAAACUUUAUAGGACAACUUUACGUAGAAGCUUAUCAUAAUGCAUUCAGUGUUUUAACAAUAUACGCAUUUAAUAGCGACCUCAAUUAAACAUACAAUUACUGACAUAAUUACUGCAGUGAUGUAAUUCUAAAUUUAAGAGCUUUCUUUGUAAUUGAAAUUCUAAUAUUUUCGGUUAUUUUCAUUUCUAUCAAUUAAUCUUUUAUCUGAACCAAUCAGACGCGUUUGUGUAGAGACCAUCAUUCUAAAUUUUAUAAAGAUCCAGUGUAACAUUCAUCCUCUACUGUGUACAUAAGGUUUUUCUUUCAAAUGACCAGGUGACCUAGUUUUUUAUCCAAGAUGAUCCAAAUUUCAAUUUUUCCUAGAUUUCAUCCAGACAACAUUCUGAUCAAAAUUCAUGAAGAUCCGGUAUAAAAUACAGUUACAAUUGCAAACACAAUUUGUUUCUUUUAUUUUUUCUAGUGGCCUAGUUUUUGAUCCAAGAUAACCCAUAUUAAAAGUUGACCUAGAUUCCAUCAAUCAUUCUGACCACAUUUGAUGAAAAUCAUUUGAAAAACUUCAGUCUCUUUCACAUAUUUAAAGCUUUAUUUUGAUUUAACCAGGUGACCAAGCUUUUUUAUUCCAGUUAACCUAUAUUCAAAUUUAUCUUGGAUUUUAUCUAGACAAGCAUUCUCAUCAAAUUUCAUAAAGAUAAGAGUUUAAAAUGCAGUUUCUAUUGCAUAGAUAAGGUUUUUCUUAAAUUUUGACCUAGUGACCUACAUUUUGACCCCAGAUGAUACAUUUUCUUAUUUAACCUAGAUUUAAACACAACAAUUAUUUUGACUAAAUUUCAUGAUCAAUUGAAAAAUACAGCCUCUAUUGCAUACACAAGCUAAAUGUUGACGGAGAAACAGACAGACGACUGACGACGGACAUCGAGCGAUCACAAUAACUCACCCAUCAGGAGCCAAAAGAUUAACAAAAUGUACAACUAUUCAAAAUUUACAAAUAUAACCUCAUAAAAAAACUUUAUCAAAACAAUACUUGGAAAAUUCAUAUAUGUAUAUUAAAUGGAACAAUAACUUUAUAUCAUUUCAAAUGAGGACAACCCAACGUAAAUAGUAAAACAUUUGAACUAUGAACGCAGAGCUCUGUUAAUACACCACAGACAUAUCUCUUUAGCGACAUGACUAUCUUCUUCACGACAGAGCUAUCUCUCACAAUAAAAAGUAAAUAAUAUGACUUCCCAACCAUUUUCAGUACAUUUUUUUUUCCAAAUGCAUUGUAUAUUUUACACGCCUACUCGGUUGGCUUCUUAAUAUUAAUCAAAAUGUAAAUAUUUGACAAUGAAAAUGUUUCCGAGACGAAAUGGCCAGAUUUACUUCUAAAUCAGCUUGUUGGUAAACAUCACCACGACCACAAAUUAAGAAUGAAUUA